rnacentral:rRNA from 1 species
GAUGAACGCUAGCGGCAGGCUUAAUACAUGCAAGUCGAGGGGCAGCAGGUCUGUAGCAAUACAGAUGCUGGCGACCGGCAAACGGGUGCGGAACACGUACAGAACCUUCCUUCGAGCGGGGAAUAGCCCAGAGAAAUUUGGAUUAAUACCCCAUAGUAUAUUGAAAAGGCAUCUUUUUAAUAUUAAAGAUUUAUCACUUGAAGAUGGCUGUGCGGCUGAUUAGAUAGUUGGCGGGGUAAUGGCCCACCAAGUCUGCGAUCAGUAACUGGUGUGAGAGCACGACCAGUCACACGGGCACUGAGACACGGGCCCGACUCCUACGGGAGGCAGCAGUAAGGAAUAUUGGUCAAUGGACGAAAGUCUGAACCAGCCAUGCCGCGUGGAGGAUGAAGGUCCUCUGGAUUGUAAACUUCUUUUAUAUGGGACGAAAAAAGGGUUUUCUAACUCGUCUGACGGUACCAUAUGAAUAAGCACCGGCUAACUCCGUGCCAGCAG